CCCUUAGAUGUUCUGGGCCGCACGCGCGCUACACUGAUGCAUUCAACGAGUUUACAACCUUGGCUGAGAGGCCUGGGUAAUCUUCUAAAACUGCAUCGUGCUGGGGAUAGAUGAUUGCAAUUAUUCAUCUUCAACGAGGAAUUCCUAGUAAACGCAAGUCAUCAGCUUGCAUUGAUUACGUCCCUGCCCUUUGUACACACCGCCCGUCGCACCUACCGAUUGAAUGGUCCGGUGAAAUCUUCGGACCGUGGCAAUGUCGCCGUUCGCGGGGACGCUGCUAUGGGAAGUUGCUUAAAUCUUACCAUUUAGAGGAAGGUGAAGUCGUAACA
rnacentral:rRNA from 1 species